UCAGCGUGAGGUAGUAGAUUGUAUAGUUGUGGGUAGUGAUUGUACCCUGUUCAGGAGAUAACUAUACAAUCUAGUGCCUUCCCUGA
rnacentral:pre_miRNA from 2 species